AGCGAACGCUGGCGGCAGGCCUAACACAUGCAAGUCGAACGAACCUUUCGGGGUUAGUGGCGGACGGGUGAGUAACACGUGGGAACGUGCCUUUAGGUUCGGAAUAACUCAGGGAAACUUGUGCUAAUACCGAAUGUGCCCUUCGGGGGAAAGAUUUAUCGCCUUUAGAGCGGCCCGCGUCUGAUUAGCUAGUUGGUUGAGGUAAUGGCUCACCAAGGCGACGAUCAGUAGCUGGUCUGAGAGGAUGAUCAGCCACAUUGGGACUGAGACACGGCCCAAACUCCUACGGGAGGCAGCAGUGGGGAAUCUUGCGCAAUGGGCGAAAGCCUGACGCAGCCAUGCCGCGUGAAUGGUGAAGGUCUUAGGAUUGUAAAAUUCUUUCACCGGAGACGAUAAUGACGGUACCCGGAGAAGAAGCCCCGGCUAACUUCGUG
rnacentral:rRNA from 1 species